rnacentral:lncRNA from 1 species
UAUUUUGCAUCUAAAUUGGAAGGAGGAAAAGGUAUUUGUCUGAGACGUCCAGUGGAUGGAUUCCAUAGGUAGAUGUGUAAAGAAUAAGUCAAAACAAUAAAUCCUCGACAUGAACUUUUAAUUUCAAGAUUAGAAUAAGAUUCGGGAAGUAUAAAAUUAAAGUUCAGUGAAGUAGAAGCAGAAUCAUCGUUAAGCGAUGCUUCAAAAUCUAUGGAUCGAAUUUCAAGAGCUGGAGUUGACAUGAACACAAUUCUAUUAGUGUGUGUUCUAGUGGAAAGGUCAAAAUGCGAUUUUGCAAAGUGAGGAUCAGAGAUAAGAGUUAACCAUGACUUACAAACACACUUGAAACGUAUAAGUGACUUCACCGGCAACCUCAACAAGAUUUGUAUGAUCAAUUCAUGAGGCAGAUACAGGCCGGUCUUCGUCUCCAUCUGUCUUCCUUCUCUGCAAUUGUAACUAAUUUAAUUUAUGACUUGUGAAAGAUAAAGUAUUACUACGUUGGUGAUGAGAUAGUAAGAGAGGGCUCAGUGAUAUUUAAUCCUUCUCUGGUACUCUUCAAAAGUUCAUUGUUACAUGAAUGUGAUGGUCCAUUCUUUAAGUCAACGAACAUUAUUUAUAUAUUGCAAAGGGAAAAGCAGUAAACAUUGCGUGAAAGCCAACCCAACAUGUUACUUUUAUAUUAAAAAUGAUUAAAUACAUGACUAACUCUUUUGUGGAGAAAAUUCAAUGAAAGAGAACAAUACAUCGUGUGUGUUUAAUAACUUCAAAAUUAGCCACCCAUAAACGGAUGAAAGACAUGCUUUUGCAAUUCAGGAAAUAGCCAAAAACUAGUUUAAAUUGGUCAUUUGAUCCCUGGCUAGUUUUAGUUUCAUUUUGGUCCCAUAAAUUCUAAAAAGUUAUUUGAUCUCUAGGUUAACCUUAAUCAGAAAUGUAUACGUUGAACCAACAUUUUAGAUAAUUCACCAUAGACUUUAUUAAUUUUUUAAUUUCAGCUCUUUAAUCUAUUUUUUAAAAAGAGGAAGAUUAGAUUUUAGAGAUUCAUUGUAUCUAACAGCGAACCAUCAACAACUAUUUAUUUCCCUUUUAUUCAUCAUCUUUCUUUCUCUAUAUCAUCUUCGACAUAUCCUUUAUACACCUUCAUCAUAUUAAAAAAAUGUAUAUUCGAGAAAGUCAAUUCAUCUCCCACCUCCACUCCUUCAUCUCUCCCACAUGCAUCAACCUUCAUCCUCCUCCCUUUCCAUAAAUCUUUCGCACCCAUCAAUCUUUCAUGAAUCAAAUCGAGAGAAAAAGAAGCAAACAGUUUAAUAGGAUAUAUGGUGAACCACUUAUAAUGUUGUUCCACUUUAUACAUUUAGGGUUAAAAAUUAACGAAAAAAUAUCAAAUUGAUUCACGGAAACAAUUCUUAUAACGUUGUGUGGAGUUGUAUUAGGAAAUUAAUAGGUUGACCACUUCAUUUUGUACACACUUUGCACCACUGUUGAUGUGGCCAAUACUGACCUAGUCUAGGGGAGAGAGGAGCCCCCCAUUCCACUAUAAUGAUGAGUAACUUUACAAAAGAGAUGUCAAAGAGUUACAAGAAAACCUAAUUCUACCCAAAGUCUCAAUCUCUUCCUGUGACCAAGAGACUCAAUCACUACUAGAAAAAGCAAAAUUAGUAAGGGAAAUUAGUGACGGAAAAAAUGAAAUUCGUCACAAAUUUCUUGGUCGCAAAAUUUAGUGACGGAAUUAGAGAGGGAUUUUACGUUUUCCCUCACUAAAUUUCCCUCACUAAUUUUUUUUUUUUUUAGUAGUGAAUCCUGAUAGUGUUUCCCAAGGUGAAUCACUCACAACCCUUGUGUCUCCCGCUUAGAGAAAACUCUCUAAAACCCUAGUUUGUUGUUUGUUUCUAAACCCUUGCUUUCAGACUCUCUACCUCUCAAGGUUUCAUCUGAUACAAGGUUUAUAUUUAUAGUAAAAGUAUUCCUCAAAAAACUGGAACAAGUCUCAGCCCAAAAUAUGAUUUUGUUUUAUUUUCUGUUUCGCAAAUUUGGGCCCCAAUUUUUGCUCUUCGCCCGCCGAAAAAUGUCGUACCAAAAGGCUGAAAAACACUGUCAAAUCCGGCCACCGACUUUUCCAAUUCGGGCCCCUAUUGUGGCCGUCGAACGCCGUCACAGAUCUAAAAGUCAGAGACGUGCUCAAGGCAGCGAGAUCAGAACGGUGAGAGUCGUAGAUAUGGGUGUGGAGGACGAGAGAGAGCAUGGAUGGGAGAGAGAUUACAAUUUGAGGGUGAAGGUCGCCGUCUCCAGUGGAGGAUAGGGAUCGACGAGAAAGAGGCGAGGCAGAGGAGAGAGGAAGAAAGAAUUCUCUUCUGAUUUUUUGGAUGAGUUUCGUUGUUUUUGCCACAUGUCACAAUUGCGUGCGAGAGUCAAAGGAUGUACGCCACCUAAAGUGGUCCAUGUAUAAGGACUGGUUGUAUUAUACGUUAUUGUGUUCUAGUUCGUUCCUACAUGCUAGUGCAGUGCUCUGUACAUUUUGCUCUUAUCGGGGUACGUGUUGUGCUUUGAUAUGAGUUGUUAUAAGAAAUUUACUCCAAUUAGAAAAAGGUCAGUUUUUAUAAGUGUUGGAAAAUACAUUAAUUGUCUAUUUUCCAAUGAUGUUAUUCCCUAUGUUAUUAUUUUCUAGUCAAGUCUAGAGAAUUCCAUUGUUAUUUUUCCAAUGUAACAAGUUUUUAGGCUAGUCUAGGAAAACAUUAAUUGUAUUCUCUCUAUAAAAAUCAGCCUUUGGCUGAGGAAUAAAUCAUAAAUGCAUUCACCCAUAAUAUUUCUUUUCAAUAUGGUAUCAAAGCCCGUUGUGAAGGUUUCCACAACUAGCUAGGUUCUGAUCAACCUGCUUUCUUACUUGAACAGUUUCACAUACCCAUUUAACCUCUCAUGGCGGAUCACAACAGGUGGUCUUCCCUAUCACAGACCUACACCGGAUCCUCCACCACCAACCAUGGAGAACAACCACCUGUGUCAGGCGUUGGUCGUGGUGGUGGUCGGGGAGAUGGUGGUGGUGGUGGCGAUGGUGGCGGCUGUGGUCGCCGAGAUGGCAUAACAUAUUUUUCUGCAAACAGCGGCGAUAAUGGCGGCAACAAUGGAAAUAGGAACAAAAAUGUUUUUGGCAAUAUCAAUUUCAACAUAGGCUGCAAUAACCAAGAGGGUUCCUCGUACUCCCUCAAGGUUAAUAUUCCUAAGUUGAAUGGGAAUAACUAUAAUGAAUGGGCCCAAACUAUUCGCUUGGUAUUGGAUAGCAAAGGGAAGCUUGCUUUUUUAAUAGGAGCAGUAGCUGAACUGGCAAGAGAAGACCCUCUUUACAAACAAUGGAAGUUUGAAAAUUCCUUGAUUAUUGCUUGGUUGGUAAGCUCUGUGUAAACUGGAAUAGGUAAGCCUUACAUGUGUUUGCGUUCUGCAAAGGAUGUGUGGGAAGAUGUUAAGGAAACAUAUUCUGAUAUCCAAAAUUCCUCCCAAAUUUUUUGUUUAAAAUCAAAGUUAUGGCAUGUUAAACAAGGUGACAGAAGUGUAACCACUUAUUUUAAUGAGUUGUUGACCCUGUGGCAAGAGUUGGAUCUCUGUUAUGAUGACAAUUGGAGGUGUACAGAGGAUAGUGUUCUAUUUCUCAAGAGGCAAGAAAAUGAUCGUGUCUUCAUGUUUCUUGAUGGGCUGAAUAAAGAUCUUGAUGAGGUAAGAGGUCGAAUUUUAGGAAAGACACCAUUGCCAACUCUUCGUGAAACUUUUGCAGAAAUAAGAAGGGAGGAGUCACGACAAGGAAUUAUGAAGGGAAAGACACCACGAAGCUCUGAAUCUGAAGGCUCGGCUUUGGCUACUAGGAACCUCGACGAGGGAAAAAGGUCGGACAAAGUGAUUCCUUACUAUGAUCAUUGCAGGCGUGAAUGGCAUACACGUGAAACUUGUUGGAAGCUCAAAGGAAAACCUCCUAACUGGAAGAAGAAAGGCAGUCGUGCAUUUCAGGCUAGUAAUUCUGAUCAAGGGCAGCAAUCCUCUUCAACUCAGCUUCCACUCACUACGGAACAACUAGACAAACUUUUCAAACUUCUUGAGUCUUCAACUCCUUCCUACUCUAUAGCAACAAAAGGGAAUUCUGCAUUUCUUAGUGUUAGUCUCAAUCAUACUUGGAUACCCAAUCAUACUUGGAUAGUAGAUUCAGGUGCCUCUGACCACAUGACAGGUGAAUCCACUUUGUUCUCUUCAUAUAGCCCAUGUGCAGGUAAUCAAAAAAUAAAAAUUGCAAAUGGCUCUUUUUCAGCCGUUGCAGGUAAAGGGUCCGUUGUGUUGUCUCCACUCUUAACUCUUGAAAAUGUCCUUCAUGUUCCAAAAUUAUCAUGUAAUUUAAUGUCUGUCAGUACAUUAAUCGAAGAUAAAAAUUGUCAAAUUAAUUUUUCAAAUCUCACUGUGUCUUUCAGGAUUUGAACUCGGGGAAGAUGAUUGGCAGUGCUAAGAAGAGUGGAGGACUCUACUACCUUGACAGUGGAUCUGCAUCACAACUACCUUCAAAAAAAAUAAGUUCCUGCUUUGAGUCUUUUUCUGUUUUGAAUAAUAAUGAUGGCAACGUUAUGUUAUGGCAUUUACGAUUAGGUCAUCCUAGUUUUGGUUACUUAAAACACUUGUUUCCUAAGUUAUUUAAUAAUAAGAACAUUUCUUCGUUUAAAUGUGAAGCAUGUGAAUUUGCAAAACAUCAGCGUUCCUGAUUUCCAAUAUAGCCUUAUAAACCAUCAAAAACUUUUUCUCUUAUUCAUAGUGAUGUUUGGGGCCCUAACUGUACAAGUACACUUUCUCUCAAAAAAUGGUUUAUCACGUUUAUAGAUGACCAUUCAAGAGUAUGUUGGGUAUACUUGUUAAAGGGGAAAUCAGAUGUUUGUCAGACUAUUAAGAAUUUUAUUGCAAUGGUGCAAAACCAAUUUCAAACAAAUAUUCAAGUCUUUAGAAGUGAUAAUGGCAAAGAAUAUUUUAACAUUAUUCUGGAUGAUUUUUUUCUUAAAAAUGGGAUUGUACAUCAAAGUUCAUGUCCCAAUACUCCUCAACAAAAUGGAGUCGCCGAAAGAAAAAUAGACAUUUAUUGGAGGUAGCUAGAGCUUUACUUUUCUCAAGUAAAGUUCCAACUAUUUGUGGGGUGAAACAGUUUUAACAAUUGCAUAGUUAAUUAACAGGAUGCCUUCGAAAGUUCUCAAUUUUCAAACUCCAAUUAAUACUUUCAAAGAAUGUCUUCCUAGUACGUGUUUUUCAACUGAUUUGACAUUAAAAAUCUUUGGUUGCACAGCCUUUGUUCAUGAACAUAAAAAUGUUGGAAAACUUGAACCACGUGCUAUAAAAUGUGUUUUUGUUGGAUACUCCCCAACCCAGAAGGGAUACAAAUGCUUUGAUCCAAAAAACAAGAAAAUGUUUGUCACUAUGAUUUUACAUUCUUUCAAAAUAAACCUUUUUUUGAUGACCCUCAUCUUCAAGGGGGGUAUAAUGGAAGACUCGUUUCAAACUGAGGACAUGAAUUUUUCAAAUAAUUUGUCUUUGCCUGUAUCACAAAGUUCUAAGACUUCUACUUCUGCACCAGCAAAAAAUGGCCAUGAUUCUAUAUCUGCUCCUACUCCUGCUAUGAGUAAGGCACUUGGUGAAUCCGAGCCUACAUCUUCUCAUGAGGAAAACAAUGAGAAUCUUGAAAACGAUCAUAGUGAUGAUCUAGUUAAAAUGCCACAAAAUAAUGAGUCACUUGAAGAUAAUAGACUUGAACUAGGAAGCAGGAUUUGGAAAGGGAAGGUUUUUGUGAAGAAGCACCACAAAGAAAGGGAUGAGUCCACAUCUCAACACUGUCAUGAAUCUGAACUGGGAAAUAAUCAACCUCCUAAGAAAAGGAAAGGUAAGUUUGUCUCUGUUUCUGAGAGUCGUAUUUUGUAUCCUGAUAUAGAUGAUCAUGUCGCCAUUAGAAAACCUGUUAGAUCUUGCACUAAACACCCUAUGUCAAAUUUUAUAUCAUAUUCAAAUUUUUCUUCAUCCUUGUCUGCCUUCACCUCAAAAUUGUCUAGUGUAGAAAUUCCAAAAAGUGUACACGUUGCUCUAAAAAUUUCAAAGUGGAGGGAAGUUGUACUUGAAGAGAUGAACGCUCUUGAAAAGAACAAAACUUGGAGUGUCACAACACUACCAGAUGGCAAGAAGACGGUUGGUUGCAAAUAGGUGUUUACUGUGAAGUAUAAUUCAGAUGGGUCAAUUGAAAGGUACAAGGCUCGCUUGGUGGCUAAGGGCUUUACUCAAACUAAUGGUAUAGACUACUCAGAGACAUUUGUUCCUAUUGCAAAAUUAAACACAGUGAGAAUUCUCUUAUCUCUCGCUACGAACCUGGAUUGGCCUCUACAUCAGUUGGAUGUUAAGAAUGCCUUUCUCUUUAGCAAUCUAGAAGAAGAAGUGUAUAUGGACAUUCCUCCUGGUUUUGAAAACAAAUUUGGAUCAAAUGUAAGCAAACUAAAUAAGUCUUUGUAUGGAUGAAAGCAGUCUCCUAGAGCUUGGUUUGAAAAAUUCACUCAGUCCAUGAAGAAAUAAGGGUACAUUCAAGGACAGGCUGACCACACCUUGUUCACAAAGUUCUCCCACGAUGGAAAAUUCGAUGUCCUGAUUGUUUAUGUUGAUGAUAUUGUACUUACUGGAGAUGAUAUAGUGGAAAUGGUAAGAGUAAAAGAGAAAUUAGCAGUAGACUUUGAAAUCAAGGACUUGGGAUCCAUGAGAUAUUUUCUUGGUAUGGAGGUUGCUCAAUCAAAGAAGGGUAUUGUGGUUUCUCAGCAGAAAUACAUUCUGGACUUAUUGAAAGAAACAGGAAUGAGUGGAUGUCGUCCAGCAGAUACCCCUAUGGAUCCUAAUGCUAAACUUUGGGGAGAAGGCAGUGUUCCUAUUGAUACUGGAAGAUAUCAGAGAUUGGUUGGGAAAUUGAUUUAUUUGUCGCACACCAGACCUGAUAAUGCCUUCUUAGUUAGUGUUGUAAGUCAGUUCAUGCAUUCUCCUUUCGAGGAACAUCUUGAGGCAGUCUAUAGGAUACUGAGAUAUUUGAAGGAAAAUCCCGGAAAAGGCUUACUUUUUAAGAAGACUAGUGAAAGAAAUGUGUCUAUCUUCACCGAUGCUGAUUGGGCAGGUUCAGUCACAGACAGAAGAUCAACCUCUGGAUAUUGUACCUAUGUUCAGGGUAAUCUUGUGACAUGGAGAAGCAAGAAACAAGGAGUUGUAGCAAGAAGUAGGGCAGAAGCAGAGUUUAGAGCUAUGGCUCAUGGUAUUUUUGAAGGAUUAUGGAUCCAGAGAUUCCUAGAAGAACUUAAGAUUAAAAUUGAGCUUCCAUUAAAGUUAUACUCAGAUAGUAAAGCCGCUAUUAGCAUAGCUCAUAACCCAGUUCAACAUGAUAGAACCAAACAUAUUGAAAUUGGUCGACAUUUCAUAAAAGAGAAGUUAGACGCUGGAAUCAUAUGUCUACCUUUUGUGACUUCAAGUCAGCAAACUGCAGAUAUCUUGACCAAAAAAGCUUGGUAAGACCAACCUUUGAGCAUUUAAUAGACAAGUUGGGCAUGAUUGAUAUCUAUGCACCAACUUGAGGAGGGUGUGGGAAAAUACAUUAAUUGUUUAUUUUCCUAUGAUGUUAUUCCCUAUGUUAUUAUUUUCUAGUCAAGUCUAGAGAAUUCCAUUGUUAUUUUUCCAAUGUAACAAGUUUCUAGGCUAGUCUAGGAGAACAUUAAUUGUAUUCUCUCUAUAAAAACCAGCCUUUGGCUGAGGAAUAAAUCUUAAAAGCAUUCACCCAUAAUAUUUCUUUUCAAUAAUAAGACAGGUAUGCAAAACUAUAAAUAUGCUUCUAUUCUAUUAUGGUUUUUAAAGACUACUUUCUCUGGAAAUAGUUUCAAAUUGUAAGUAAGGUCGCUGCAAUAUCAAAUUGUAAGAGAAGUAAUUGUAGGCCAGCUUUAGUUGAAUUGUGUAUUUUUUUAGAUGUCCAAGCAAACUCAGCUCAGAUGAACUUUGUUAGGAAUCAUCAAUUCAAAAAGCUUAAGCUAUUUUAGGUGGAAAAUACAUGAAUAGUUUUUAUAUCAUAUCUUUAACAUAACCCCUUGAAACUACAGCUCUUGAAGAAUGGACUAUACACAACAAGAACCAAACUCUACACCACUUGAUCAAAGCCUGUGAUACCAUUUCAUGAACAAACUAUGCCAAAAGCUGUGAUACCAUUUCAUCAACAAACUAUGCUACAAGUUUAAGCUAUUAAGUGAAGACAUAAAUAAUUUUUCAAUAUUGUAUAAAUGAACUAUAUCACCAAUGGCAAUCCAAUGGAGCAUCUUUUUAAUCUUGAACAUAACACUUCAUAAGAAUGCAACAUCUACUUUAAAUAGAUUAUAUUGGAUCAUACUGUACUCCAUUUCAAAUAUGCAUGUGGCUCCUCCUUCUUGUCAUCCAAUCCAAACACAAAUAGAAUUACCAUUGAUGGCCUUGUGUCAAGUUAUUGUGGUCAUGUUUGGAUUUGUUCAAUAUUUCACAUAGAGAGAUUAAACCCAUCAAAUAACUACCACUAUCUUAUAAUAACACAUAUGCAAACAAGGAACACAACAUAGAUUAAACCCAAUCAAGUUACACAUGCAUAAUUAACUGUGAAUCACACAAUCUAAAUUGUCAAGAUUUUCAAUGAACAUUACAAAUAUUUGACCAAUAAACAUAUUACAUUAGCUUGUGUUGCAUACUGGAUCAUAUUACAAACAAAAUCAAACACAUAUUACCCAACAAAUGCAGCCACCCAAGAGUUUAUAAUAUAAUAUAAUUAUAAAUAUCAAGAAGUUGAAGAAGAAUGCUUCACAACCUCAUUCUUCUUCUCUGUGUCAUCUUAAAAUUGCCCACUGUCACCAGGGAGUGAAAGCAGAGACUCUGUGUACAUAACCACUAGGGCACAUGGAUCGUUAAAGUAUGAGCGAUUCUCUAGCAACUGACCAUUGCCAUCAUACUUUACCAAUUCACCACCACCAUUUGUUCCAAUAAUACCACCACUUUUUGUAGAGCAUAUUGGGGGAUAAUACUCAAUGGAAAUGUCAUCAAUAGAUAGGACAAGAGUUUUAACCCAAGACGAAUGCACUUUGUAUUCUUUCAUAACCCAUAUUUCAACUGUUCCAUCCUCCAUAGCCCAUAGACUUAGAAAUUCUCCAAAUAUCCACAAAUCACAAUCUAUAGGUUCAUAGUCAAAACCAUCUGGAAAAUGCAUCUCCAAAAGUUUCCUUUCCACUAAAUCAAAGCCAACAAUAACAUCCAUUGAUAAAUCAUGGCGAAAAGAGAACCAAUGAAUAGUCCCAUUAAAGAGCAUCCCUACUUUGGGAUCAUCAUUUGCAUUCAUAUAAUAAGGGAAGUGAUUAUACUUUACAAAUCCAGGACACUCAAUUUCGUUCCAUGUAUUAGCUCUCAAUGAGAAAAACUUCAAAUGUGAAGAAAUAUUAUCGUCUACUGGGUCUAUACUUGUAUUAUAGGACACUGAUACCACCAAGUAAUCAUCUCUUAAAUGGUCAUACCCAAAACCAUACAGACAACAUGAAUAUUUGGCAUCUAAAUUGGAAGCAGGAAAAGGUAUUUGUUUGUGAUGUCCAGUUGAUGGAUUCCAUAGGUAGAUGUUUGAAGAACAAGUCAAAACUAUAAAUCCUCUACAUGAACUUUUAAUUUCAAGACUAGAAUAAGAUUCUGGAGGCAUAAAAUUAAGGUUCAGUGAAGUAGAAGCAGAAUCAUCGUUAAGCGACGCUUCAAAAUCAAUGGAUCGAGUUUCAAGAGCUAGAGUUGACAUGAACACAAUUCUAUUAGUGUGUGUUGCAGUGGAAAGUUCAAAAUGCGAUUUUGC